AUGGCUUACCAUCUACGAUCGGCAAGCACGCCUUCGAGCCCUCGCUCAAACAGAGCGGAAGUCGAGGAGCAGUUCCAGAGCCUGAGCACAACCAUCUCUUCGCCCUCGGCGACCAUCGAUACGAUGUGUGAUGGCUUGAGGAGGCUCGGUGACAUCUACAGCUGCAUCGAGAAGAUGAUGUGCACACCAAGCAGCCAAGUCAGCCUUUGCCAGGCCCUUCAAAGGGCGGCCGUGGAGGCGGAGCUUGGACGGUCCCUCGCCGUGCUCGACCUCUGCAACGGCAUGCGGGAGGGCUUCAUGGAAUUGAAGAUGACUGUCCAAGAGCUCCUUUUAGUUCUCAAAAGAGGAGAGGAUGUGUCUUCUCAAGUCAAGGCAUAUGUCAGGCUAGCAAACAAGGUGCAAAAACAGUUCAAGAAGAUCACCAAGAAGACUGCUUCCGACAAGAACGACUGUAGGGUGGCGAUGCUACUGGCAGAAGCGAGAGAGAUCACCAUUUCGCUGCUCGAAUCCACAUCGUCAAUCUUUUCAAAGCAAGUUGAGAUGCCCAAGUGGUCUCUUGCCCCCAAAACAUUCCAGAGGACCAAAGUUGUGUACCAAGAGGAGCAAUUGCAGGCAUUGGAGCACAGUAUUGGAGAUCUUGAGAGCGGAGUGGAACUUCUGUACAGGAGAUUGAUCCAGAACAGAGUUUCUCUUCUGAAUGUUCUUAGCUCGUAG
rnacentral:rRNA from 1 species